AGAGUUUGAUCCUGGCUCAGGACGAACGCUGGCGGCGUGCUUAACACAUGCAAGUCGAACGGUAAGGCCCUUCGGGGUACACGAGUGGCGAACGGGUGAGUAACACGUGGGUAAUCUGCCCUGCACAUCGGGAUAAGCCUGGGAAACUGGGUCUAAUACCGAAUAGGACCACAGGACACAUGUCCUGUGGUGGAAAGCUUUUGCGGUGUGGGAUGGGCCCGCGGCCUAUCAGCUUGUUGGUGGGGUGAUGGCCUACCAAGGCGACGACGGGUAGCCGGCCUGAGAGGGUGUCCGGCCACACUGGGACUGAGAUACGGCCCAGACUCCUACGGGAGGCAGCAGUGGGGAAUAUUGCACAAUGGGCGAAAGCCUGAUGCAGCGACGCCGCGUGGGGGAUGACGGCCUUCGGGUUGUAAACCUCUUUCACCAUCGACGAAGGUCCGGGUUUUCUCGGGCUGACGGUAGGUGGAGAAGAAGCACCGGCCAACUACGUGCCAGCAGCCGCGGUAAUACGUAGGGUGCGAGCGUUGUCCGGAAUUACUGGGCGUAAAGAGCUCGUAGGUGGUUUGUCGCGUUGUUCGUGAAAUCUCACGGCUUAACUGUGAGCGUGCGGGCGAUACGGGCAGACUUGAGUACUGCAGGGGAGACUGGAAUUCCUGGUGUAGCGGUGGAAUGCGCAGAUAUCAGGAGGAACACCGGUGGCGAAGGCGGGUCUCUGGGCAGUAACUGACGCUGAGGAGCGAGAGCGUGGGGAGCGAACAGGAUUAGAUACCCUGGUAGUCC
rnacentral:rRNA from 1 species